AGCGAACGCUGGCGGCAGGCCUAACACAUGCAAGUCGAACGAACCCUUCGGGGUUAGUGGCGGACGGGUGAGUAACACGUGGGAACGUGCCUUUAGGUUCGGAAUAACUCAGGGAAACUUGUGCUAAUACCGAAUGUGCCCUUCGGGGGAAAGAUUUAUCGCCUUUAGAGCGGCCCGCGUCUGAUUAGCUAGUUGGGGAGGUAAUGGGUCACCAAGGCUACGAUCAGUAGCUGGUCUGAGAGGAUGACCAGCCACAUUGGGACUGAGAAACGGCCCAAACUCCUACGGGAGGCAGCAGUGGGGAAUCUUGCGCAAUGGGCGAAAGCCUGACGCAGCCAUGCCGCGUGGAUGAUGAAGGUCUUAGGAUUGUAAAAUCCUUUCACCGGUGAAGAUAAUGACUGUAGCCGGAGAAGAAGCCCCGGCUAACUUCGUGCCAGCCGCCGCCGUAACAC
rnacentral:rRNA from 1 species